rnacentral:rRNA from 1 species
CCCUAGUAUUAUAAUAAAUAAGGUAUUAGUAUAUUGAAAAUUAAUAAUUUUGGCGGUUAAUUUUUAUUUAGAGGAGCUUGUUAUUUAUAGAAUUAGCUCUUUAAAUUUUAGUAUUAGUAUAAUUUAUUCAUCUCCGUUAUUAAAAUUAAUUUAAUAAAUUAUUUUAGUAUAUCAGGUCAAGAUGUAGUUUUUAUUAAGUAUAAUUAGCUACAAUUAUGAAAUGAAUGAAUUUUUGAUAUUGUAUAUUAAUUUUGAAUUUGAAUUUAAUUGUAAUAAUAAUUAGAAAGUUAUUGUGAAUUAAAUAAGUUAAUGUACAUAUUGCCCGUCACUUCUAUGAUAGA